rnacentral:lncRNA from 1 species
GGUGAGCAGUGCAGAGAAGUAGUUGUUAUUGCUCAGCUCUCAAGAACAGCAAUUAUUUCAGCAGAUUCAUCAUGUCACAAGAGGCAUCUACCCACUGUCAGAGAUGAUGUUUGAGAUUGAGGCUUCAGGUGCCACCCCUAAUAAAGGCCGCAGCCUUGGAAUCAGGAUGAAGCUGGAGCCUGAAGGAGCCAGGCACACUCAGGAGAGGGUGACUGAGAGGCUAACAGGCCAUCACAGGGCCCUCCGACACAGGCUCAUUUCAGGUGCAACGUGGAUCCACAUCACCGAUCAUCCAAAAGGUGCAGAUGCAUUGCAUCCAUGGCAGAGGGUCAGGGUUAGGAGGUGCCGGGCCUUCUUAGGAGCACGCUGAGAGACACCAGCGUCAUGCCAGCAGGACCUUCCCAGCUGACGAGGUGGCCUUUCUUUGCACCUGAUACGGACCAGCACCCCCUGAUAUCUGAGAGAUAAGUAGAGGCCUAAGACCCACAGAGGGGAUGAAAGCAGGGUUCUGGUUUGGUAAUUACUGGGAGGGGUUUUUGAGUCCGCUUUGGAGGUGGGGGGUGUUCAUGAAGUGGCCCCUUAGGUCCCAUAAAAGCAAAGUCUCACUUUUGAUCACAGUGCUGAGGUGCUCAGGGCAGAGCAGUUCCGGUGUGUCUCGUGUCACUUGUCUAUUGUGCGUUAUGUAUGUUUGUGUAUGUCCUGUCCUUUAGCUUAGGCCUUUGAGGGGCCUGUCAGAAACCCUGGCACCAUUCUUAGCAUCUGUGAUAACUGCAUUCCUUGGCCUGGUGCCCAGGCCAUAGAACUUUUGACUCGGGAGCUCAGACAGGCAUCAGACUCUCUUCUCUCUUUGGAAGCAUCCCGUCAGAUGUCUUUUCAGGUCUUGUUGAGCUGUACGGACAGCUAUGCCCCACCUGGAUCCAUUAUGGUGGAUUAGGACGUGUAAUAAUAUGAGGUUAGUUAGAGGAUUCUGACCAUAGGAUUCCUAGGCAUCCAUCUUUGCUGUUCUUGGAAUAAAUCAUUCAGUUAGCAUCUUCUUCCUCCA